rnacentral:rRNA from 1 species
AUUGAACGCUGGCGGCAUGCCUUACACAUGCAAGUCGAACGGCAGCAUGAUCUAGCUUGCUAGAUUGAUGGCGAGUGGCGAACGGGUGAGUAAUACAUCGGAACGUGCCCUGUAGUGGGGGAUAACUAGUCGAAAGAUUAGCUAAUACCGCAUACGACCUGAGGGUGAAAGUGGGGGACCGCAAGGCCUCAUGCUAUAGGAGCGGCCGAUGUCUGAUUAGCUAGUUGGUGAGGUAAAGGCUCACCAAGGAGACGAUCAGUAGCUGGUAUGAGGGGACGAGCAGCCACACUGGGACUGAGACACGGCCCAGACUCCUACGGGAGGCAGCAGUGGGGAAUUUUGGACAAUGGGGGCAACCCUGAUCCAGCAAUGCCGCGUGUGUGAAGAAGGCCUUCGGGUUGUAAAGCACUUUUGUCCGGAAAGAAAUCGCACUUACUAAUAUUAGGUGUGGAUGACGGUACCGGAAGAAUAAGGACCGGCUAACUACGUGCCAGCAGCCGCGGUAACAC